rnacentral:rRNA from 1 species
CCUACGGGAGGCAGCAGUGAGGAAUAUUGGUCAAUGGCCGUAAGGCUGAACCAGCCAAGUCGCGUGAGGGAAGAAGGCCCUACGGGUUGUAAACUUCUUUUAUCGGGGAAUAAAGGUAUUCACGUGUGGCUCUUUGCAUGUACCCUAUGAAUAAGCAUCGGCUAACUCCGUGCCAGCAGCCGCGGUAAUACGGAGGAUGCGAGCGUUAUCCGGAUUUAUUGGGUUUAAAGGGUGCGCAGGCUGUUGGUUAAGUCAGCGGUUAAAGUUGGGGGCUCAAACCUAGAAUUGCCGUUGAAACUGGAUGACUUGAGUGUGUUAGAAGUAGGCGGAAUGCGUGGUGUAGCGGUGAAAUGCAUAGAUAUCACGCAGAACUCCGAUUGCGAAGGCAGCAUAC